UAUUCCACCAAUCCCGUUCUGCUAGAGGCCGCUUUGAAUAUAACGAGAAAUGUAAUAAAAUGUUUGCCGCCGCUUUCUUCUACUGAAAAUUUUGAGAAGACGCCUCAUUUCUGUGUGCUUUGGCUUCUUCAAAGGUACCUUGAGUUAUAUUGCGCCGGAACUUUAGAGAAAAGCACCAAAAUAGC